rnacentral:rRNA from 1 species
UACGUAGGGUGCAAGCGUUGUCCGGAUUUAUUGGGCGUAAAGCGCGUGUAGGCGGCCAGAUAAGUCCGCUGUGAAAUCUCGAGGCUCAACUUCGAGCUGUCGGUGGAAACUGUCUGGCUAGAGUCCGGAAGAGGAGAAUGGAAUUCCUGGUGUAGCGGUGAAAUGCGCAGAUAUCAGGAAGAACACCCGUGGCGAAGGCGGUUCUCUGGGACGGUACUGACGCUGAGACGCGAAAGCGUGGGGAGCGAACAGG